rnacentral:rRNA from 1 species
GAUGAACGCUAGCUACAGGCUUAACACAUGCAAGUCGAGGGGAAACGACAUCGAAAGCUUGCUUUUGAUGGGCGUCGACCGGCGCACGGGUGAGUAACGCGUAUCCAACCUGCCCAUCACUUGGGAAUAACCUUGCGAAAGUAAGACUAAUACCCAAUGAUAUCCCACGAAGGCAUCGGAAUGGGAUUAAAGAUUUAUCGGUGAUGGAUGGGGAUGCGUCUGAUUAGCUUGUUGGCGGGGUAACGGCCCACCAAGGCAACGAUCAGUAGGGGUUCUGAGAGGAAGGUCCCCCACAUUGGAACUGGGACACGGUCCAAACUCCUACGGGCGGCAGCAGUGAGGCAUAUUGGUCAAUGGGCGAGAGCCUGAACCAGCCAAGUAGCGUGCAGGAAGACGGCCCUAUGGGUUGUAAACUGCUUUUAUAAGGGAAUAAAGUGGGUCACGUGUGACUUUUUGCAUGUACCUUAUGAAUAAGGACCGGCUAAUUCCGUG